rnacentral:rRNA from 1 species
AGCGCCUCCCAGCUACGACGGAGGCGCGGCGCACAGCUCAGUAACGCGUGGCUAACCUGCCCUCGGGACGGGAAUACCCCCGGGAAACUGGGGCUAAUCCCCGAUAGGUGAAGAACUCUGGAAUGAGUCUCCGCCCAAAAGACGCUUAAAUCAUGCUUUUAGGCGCCGCCCAAGGAUGGGGCCGCGACCGAUCAGGUAGUUGGUGAGGCAACGGCUCACCAAGCCUUUAACCGGUGCGGGCCGUGAGAGCGGGAGCCCGGAGAUGGGCACUGAGACAAGGGCCCAGGCCCUACGGGGCGCAGCAGUCGCGAAAACUUUGCAAUACACGAAAGUGUGACAGGGCUAUCCCGAGUGCCAUCCGCUGAGGAAGGCUUUUACCCAGUGUAGAAAGCUGGGAGAAUAAGGAGAGGGCAAGACUGGUGUCAGCCGCCGCGGUAAUACCAGCUCUCCGAGUGGUGUGGAUGUUUAU